AUUAGCCAUGGGGCUUAAAUAGCUGUCCGCCUGUGUAGCUCGCUCAACCCAGCCUGCCAACGUACGGGAGCUCAUCGUAGUGAGAUAGGAUUGUGAAGGAAGAGUGAAUUUUCUGCCGCCGUGAGGAACUUUAAUUCACCGCCAUCCUGAGAACCAAUCCCAUGCGUGGCGGGUAGCUAGGCAUGCCAAGGAUCUAAUCGCGCGUACCGGUGCUCGCCGGGCGGAUCCAUGUCUGCUCCGCGUCCAGCCGCCGCCAUGGGGUCCGCCGUCGCAGAUCCACCUCGAGACGAGGACGUUCUUCUGCGCUUUAUCCACCCCGGUGAGAAGCUUCCUUCGAAAUUCUCCCUUGUCUCCAUUACGAUUUGAGCUCGGUAGUCACUCGCCGUUACCGAGGAUCCGUGCCUCACUAUGGCUGGGCGGGUUAUCGCAACAAUCCACGGUGUAUCACCCCCUAUCCGGUUCGCGUUCGACCGAACUUCGUGUAGCACCUCCCGAAUCGACGUUGGGUCAUCGGGUGAUGGAUGGAGCUGCCCCGGCAAUGGCAAUCGCCAUGGUCCGCUUGGACUCCACUGCUGGCGUGUUCCUAGGAGGAAGAGAACGCCUGGUUUGCAGAUCAGUGAACUGGCGGUGUGGGAUCGCCUUCUCCCUCAACGAAUUAGUAAAGGAGUUUAUCCACUGCGCCAACCUGUAGCUUUCCCGCCGCGUGCGCCAUUGGCAGAGGAGGAGAAAGAAUGGCGCCGCCGCUGUGCUCGUGUGCGGAAGGUAGAUGGCGAGUUGGUAGCCAUCCAUCAUGUUUUGAACGGCUGGGAUUAGGCCUCGCGUAUCCUUUUGCGUUGAUUCGAUCUGGAACGUCGAUCUAGAUUGGGCGGACAGAGUUAGAUCCAGGGUAAUAAAAUCCUCACCGUUGAAGUCGGAUUCAAAGGUUAGAUUCGUGUGCUGGUUCGUGGCCGGCUAGAUUUAAUCCUGUGCGCAUACCUUAGAUCAGACGGCCGUGGUCGCUCCAUACCCCUUCGCGGGUACAUUUUUCUAAAGAGACCCUAUACUUUGCCAGAAUCAACCCGCCAUCCUGACUGACUGUUCUCUGUGUCUGCGGAUUAUUACCCUGAGACCCCUGUUCUUCGCAGAAAAUGAGGCCCAGUCCAGAACCCAUUUAAUUUGAAUAAAUGAAAUAGAAAAUGGAUUUUUAAUAUGAAAAUAAUUACUAGAACUUAAUAAAUUCAUAGAAAAUUCAUACUAACUCCAAAUUAAUCCAUUCUAGUUCCUAAAAUUUUGUAAUUUUAUUCUCUACCACUUAGUGUCUCUGUUUUAUCAUGAUAACAGUAAGAAAAUUAAUCCCACACUUAAUCCUAUUUUAAACACAUAAAACCUUUGAAAAUCCAUAACUUAAAUUCUAUAACUCCAAAAAUUAUGAUUCCUGUUCCUAGAAUUUUAUUUUAAUGUGUAGAUUAUUACUGUGUAUUUUAUAUGUUUGGUGUAAUGUUAAUUUCUCUAUAUGCACUGUGCUUGUUUGUAUUGUGGCGAGUAGAAGAGCCCGUGACCGAGGAUCCUGGUGAGCAGCAGGUUGAAGUAGCUGAGCAGGAGCUCAUUGAA
rnacentral:lncRNA from 1 species